GAUGAACGCUAGCGGCAGGCUUAAUACAUGCAGGUCGAGGGACAGCACAGGUAGCAAUACUGGGUGGUAACCGGCAAACGGGUGCGGAACACGUACACAACCUUCCUUUAAGUGGGGGAUAGCCCAGAGAAAUUUGGAUUAAUGCCCCGUAAUAUAGUUGAAUGGCAUCAUUUGAUUAUUAUAGCUACGGCGCUUAAUGAUGGGUGUGCGGCUGAUUAGAUAGUUGGCGGGAUAACGGCCCACCAAGUCUACGAUCAGUAGCUGAUGUGAGAGCAUGAUCAGCCACACGGGCACUGAGACACGGGCCCGACUCCUACGGGAGGCAGCAGUAAGGAAUAUUGGUCAAUGGACGCAAGUCUGAACCAGCCAUGCCGCGUGAAGGAUUAAGGUCCUCUGGAUUGUAAACUUCUUUUAUUUGGGACGAAAAAGGGCCUUUCUAGGUCAACUGACGGUACCAGAUGAAUAAGCACCGGCUAACUCCGUGCCAGCAGCCGCAGUAAUAC
rnacentral:rRNA from 1 species